UACGAAGGGGGCUAGCGUUGCUCGGAAUCACUGGGCGUAAGGGUGCGUAGGCGGGUCUUUAAGGACGGGGGGAAAUCCUGGAGCUCAACUCCAGAACUGCCUUUGAUACUGAAGAUCUUGAGUUCGGGAGAGGUGAGUGGAACUGCGAGUGUAGAGGUGAAAUUCGUAGAUAUUCGCAAGAACACCAGUGGCGAAGGCGGCUCACUGGCCCGAUACUGACGCUGAGGCACGAAAGCGUGGGGAGCAAACAGG
rnacentral:rRNA from 1 species